GAUUGAACGCUGGCGGCAGGCCUAACACAUGCAAGUCGAGUCGGUAGAGAGGUGCUUGCAUCUCUUGAGAGCGGCGGACGGGUGAGUAAUGCCUAGGAAUCUGCCUAGUGGUGGGGAUAACGUUCGGAAACGGACGCUAAUACCGCAUACGUCCUACGGGAGAAAGCGGGGGAUCUUCGGACCUCGCGCCAUUAGAUGAGCCUAGGUCGGAUUAGCUAGUUGGUGAGGUAAUGGCUCACCAAGGCGACGAUCCGUAACUGGUCUGAGAGGAUGAUCAGUCACACUGGAACUGAGACACGGUCCAGACUCCUACGGGAGGCAGCAGUGGGGAAUAUUGGACAAUGGGCGAAAGCCUGAUCCAGCCAUGCCGCGUGUGUGAAGAAGGUCUUCGGAUUGUAAAGCACUUUAAGUUGGGAGGAAGGGUAGUAACCUAAUACGUUGCUACUUUGACGUUACCGACAGAAUAAGCACCGGCUAACUUCGUG
rnacentral:rRNA from 1 species